rnacentral:rRNA from 1 species
CGGACGGGUGAGUAACGCGUAAGAAUCUACCUUCAGGUUGGGGACAACCACUGGAAACGGUGGCUAAUACCGAAUGUGCCGAGAGGUGAAAGGCUUGCUGCCUGAAGAAGAGCUUGCGUCUGAUUAGCUAGUUGGUGGGGUAAGAGCCUACCAAGGCGACGAUCAGUAGCUGGUCUGAGAGGAUGAUCAGCCACACUGGGACUGAGACACGGCCCAGACUCCUACGGGAGGCAGCAGUGGGGAAUUUUCCGCAAUGGGCGAAAGCCUGACGGAGCAAUACCGCGUGAGGGAGGAAGGCUCUUGGGUUGUAAACCUCUUUUCUCAGGGAAGAAGACAAUGACGGUACCUGAGGAAUAAGCAUCGGCUAACUCCGUGCCAGCAGCCGCGGUAAUACGGAGGAUGCAAGCGUUAUCCGGAAUGAUUGGGCGUAAAGGGUCUGCAGGUGGCAUUGUAAGUCUGCUGUUAAAGAGUCACGCUCAACGUGAUAAAAGCAGUGGAAACUACAAAGCUAGAGUACGUUCGGGGCAGAGGGAAUUCCUGGUGUAGCGGUGAAAUGCGUAGAUAUCAGGAAGAACACCGGUGGCGAAGGCGCUCUACUGGGCCAUAACUGACACUGAUGGACGAAAGCUAGGGGAGCGAAAGGGAUUAGAUACCCCUGUAGUC